GAUGAACGCUGGCGGCGCGCCUAACACAUGCAAGUCGAACGGCACCUAUCUUCGGAUAGAAGCGAGUGGCGAACGGCUGAGUAACACGUGGAGAACCUGCCCCCUCCCCCGGGAUAGCCGCCCGAAAGGACGGGUAAUACCGGAUACCCCCGGGCGCCGCAUGGCGCCCGGGCUAAAGCCCCGACGGGAGGGGAUGGCUCCGCGGCCCAUCAGGUAGACGGCGGGGUGACGGCCCACCGUGCCGACAACGGGUAGCCGGGUUGAGAGACCGACCGGCCAGAUUGGGACUGAGACACGGCCCAGACUCCUACGGGAGGCAGCAGUGGGGAAUCUUGCGCAAUGGGGGGAACCCUGACGCAGCGACGCCGCGUGCGGGACGGAGGCCUUCGGGUCGUAAACCGCUUUCAGCAGGGAAGAGUCAAGACUGUACCUGCAGAAGAAGCCCCGG
rnacentral:rRNA from 1 species